rnacentral:rRNA from 1 species
CAAGGGGUGCACUCUUAGGAGACCGCCUCGGUUAACGGGGGAGGAAGGUGGGGAUGACGUCAAGUCCCCCAUGGCCUUUAUGCCCAGGGCUACACACGUACUACAAUGGCCGGUACAGUAGCGAAGCAAGACCGCAAGGUGGAGCAAAUCCGCAGAAAGCCGGCCCCAGUUCAGAUUGAGGGCUGAAACUCGCCCUCAUGAAGUCGGAAUCGCUAGUAAUCGCGUAUCAGCAGGUCGCGGUGAAUACGUUCCCGGGUCUU